AAAGAACUGAUUUCACGAAGGACUGGGCCAGUCCAGGGAGUGCUGGAGCAAAUUCCUGUCCCGAGCCAGAGGGUCUCUGGUCUAUGGAGGCGGCAGAACCCUGGAAACCCCUAUGCCUUUGCUGAAGGCCUGGGCUGGGCUUGAGUUCAGAUACCACAGGCGGGAGACAAGCUUACGAGUCCGGUUGGUAUGAAUGGAGAUGACAUGGACUCCACAUGCAGCAAGCUAAGGGACAUGUGAGUGCCCCAUCGGAGCUGCCCUAAGUCCUGGCACAGAUGUCCAGCUGGGGCAGUGCUAGCCAGUGGCAUCCUGGUAAAAACACCUGCAGCUCUGUUUAUGAGGCUGUUGGGAGGGGAACAUGUAGGAAAAGGGUCCUGAGUGAUUCAGAGUCUCCGGAACCCAGAUGUGGCAUCGGCCUUCUGGACCAGUUGCCCCGGGGGCCACCUGGAUACCUUCUCUUUGCUUUGAUUCCAUGUCUUCCCUGCCUUUUCCCCUCACAUGCUGGCAAGUUCAGCUCCAGCUGAGAGCCUCUAUUUUGGGGAGUUCUCUUGGAUAAUUUAGUGGGCGGAAGCUCCCCACCCACCCCCCUCAGAGCGCCCCCUCAGCAAAGGGGGGUACUCCGCAGAAGUGAAAAACAGUGGGUGGUUCAGUUCAAAAGGACAAAAUAUUUCUUGCUCUGGCAGUGAGAGAGGAAAGAAAUUGUCUGAGGAACUCAAGAAGAGCUUUGGAGGGGGCCUAAAGCUGCGGCUCAUGAGGGCACGUUGGGUGACUCAGCUGUUAGGCCCCGGCUCCAGCCUGGUAGUAUUAAUUGGUCUUUAAAAAGGGAAAAACGCUUAACUGUGACAAAGAGUGAGGGCCAUAAAAACGUGGCUAAUGCUGAUUCUACCAAGUUCCAGAAGGCGUCCCCCACUCCGGCAGCUCCAGGCACCUGUGGAGAUGGGGACUCGCCUCCAAGGCCUGAGCUUGGGUGGGACCCGAGUCUAAAAUUAUCCCCGAUAAUGAGUCGGCCAGAGGAGGCCCAGAAUGCUGGUUUCCUGCUAGCCUCGGAGGCGGAGGUUCCCAGGGAGGCCUCGGGAGGCAGUGGCUGCUGAGCCAAGAACAUGGCUUCACCGCUGCCAGAGUUGGGGUCACCUUGGGGCCGGCUGUGUGAACAUAGGCUCUUGGAGUCUUGAUGCACUCAUGUGUAAGUGGGGCUCACAACACCGUG
rnacentral:lncRNA from 1 species